rnacentral:rRNA from 1 species
AGAGUACGUGAAACCGUUCAGGGGUAAACCUGAGAAACCCGAAAGGUCGAAAGGGGAGAUUCAGCGUGUCUCGAUUGCGGCGCUGGACGGUCGUGCGACGGAAGACGUACGCGUCAUCCGCACCUUCCGUUCUCCGAACCGCAGUCGAACGCGUGCACUUCUCCCCCUGUAGGACGUCGCGAUCCGUUGGGUGCCGGCCUAAGGCCCGCGAUGGAGCCCGUCCGGACGGUUUUCCGUUCCGGACGAACUCGCGGUGUUUCCCGGUCGGCUCGCUCGACGGUAUACAGAUGGCGCGGGGCCGCUACACAUCAGUUAGCGUCCGACCGGCGGCAAGCGCGCUCGUCGUGACGGUGAUCGGACCUGGUGCCGGUCCUGUCCCCGAGUGGCUGUUCGCUGCCGUGUUCUCGGACAGACCUCGUCGAAACGCCGAUCUGCGACGCUAUAGCUUUGGGUACUUUCAGGACCCGUCUUG